UCUUCCUUACAAAGCCACCCACCAGAUAGAAGAAGGAAAAAAAAGAGUAACAAUUCCAGUGUUCAGAAAACGAAGUCAAGAGCUGACUCUAGUGCUUUUCUUAUGUUCUUCUCCAGAGUUCUGUGGAGAAUAUUCUGUGCUGGUAAUUGUUCCUAAUCAACUGGAUGAAAGAGAAAGCAAAAAGUGCUUUUGAUACCUUCCCUGAAAAUGUCUGCAGCAUAAUAAUCUGAUAAGGGUAUAAUCAGUAUGAUAAUCUUUAUAUUCACUACAAUUCCACCUUCACCAAGUUCUAGCUAUGCUGGAAAGUGGAUUUUGACUGAGUAAAACAGCUCAUCUCCGUCACUCUACAGAAAUGGAGGACCACCACCUUCGACAUGUGAUAAGCCUUUGGAAACUGGUGCCUUGGGCAAGGAUAUGCCCAACUGGUACCUGCAGGCUUUCAUCUACUUAUGGGUUGCAUGUUACAAUGAGCAUCAUCUUUCUGUGUGUCUGAGAUGAGUUUUCAAAAAGCCAUGAACCAUGAUAAACCCCAGGAAAACUGUGAAGCUCAAGGAUGACUCUCCAUCUCGACGUCAAGUGUCUGGCCCAUAACAAGUGCUCAAUGAAUUCCUGUUGACAGAAUAAAUAUAGAGAGACAAAGUGUGAGCGGGAGAGGGGCAGAGAGACAAGGAGACACAGAAUCCAAAGCAGGCUCCAGGCUCUGAGCUGUCAGCACAGAGCCCGAACCACGAGAUCACGAACCUGAGCUGAAGUCAGACGCUCAACCAACUGAAUCACCCAGGCGCCCCUAGUCUCACUUUAAAAUGGAGCUACACUUAACAGUCGUUUAAAAAUGAAUAACACUCAGUUUCUUGCCUCCCAUUGCCUCAUUUGUUACGCCUGAUGCUGUCCUACCCCAAAACAUGGAACCAACACCUGAUGUCCUCCCUAGGGGUACGUAAAUGUUGCUCAUUUUUAUUUGUCAUCUAAUAAGCAAAAGCCAGAUUUGGAGGUGGAACCUUCAAAGUGCAGUUGCUUCAU